rnacentral:rRNA from 1 species
CUUUCCCUCUGGCGGCAGGCCUAACACAUGCAAGUCGAACGGUAACAGGAAGCAGCUUGCUGCUUUGCUGACGAGUGGCGGACGGGUGAGUAAUGUCUGGGAAACUGCCUGAUGGAGGGGGAUAACUACUGGAAACGGUAGCUAAUACCGCAUAACGUCGCAAGACCAAAGAGGGGGACCUUCGGGCCUCUUGCCAUCGGAUGUGCCCAGAUGGGAUUAGCUAGUAGGUGGGGUAACGGCUCACCUAGGCGACGAUCCCUAGCUGGUCUGAGAGGAUGACCAGCCACACUGGAACUGAGACACGGUCCAGACUCCUACGGGAGGCAGCAGUGGGGAAUAUUGCACAAUGGGCGCAAGCCUGAUGCAGCCAUGCCGCGUGUAUGAAGAAGGCCUUCGGGUUGUAAAGUACUUUCAGCGGGGAGGAAGGGAGUAAAGUUAAUACCUUGGCUCAUUGACGUUACCCGCAGAAGAAGCACCGGCUAACUCCGUG